UACGUAGGUGGCGAGCGUUGUCCGGAUUUACUGGGCGUAAAGAGCGCGCAGGCGGUCGUUCAAGUCGCGUGUGAAAGCCCCCCGGCUCAACUGGGGAGGGUCACGCGAUACUGAUCGACUCGAAGGCAGGAGAGGGAAGUGGAAUUCCCGGUGUAGUGGUGAAAUGCGUAGAUAUCGGGAGGAACACCGGUGGCGAAGGCGGGUCUCUGGGCCGAUACUGACGCUGAGGAGCGAAAGCGUGGGGAGCGAACAGG
rnacentral:rRNA from 1 species